rnacentral:rRNA from 1 species
GGCGGCGUGCUUAACACAUGCAAGUCGAGCGGAAAGGCCCUUCGGGGUACUCGAGCGGCGAACGGGUGAGUAACACGUGAGCAACCUGCCCUAGGCUUUGGGAUAACCCCGGGAAACCGGGGCUAAUACCGAAUAUGACCUUACAUCGCAUGGUGUUUGGUGGAAAGUUUUUCGGCCUGGGAUGGGCUCGCGGCCUAUCAGCUUGUUGGUGGGGUGAUGGCCUACCAAGGCGACGACGGGUAGCCGGCCUGAGAGGGCGACCGGCCACACUGGGACUGAGACACGGCCCAGACUCCUACGGGAGGCAGCAGUGGGGAAUAUUGCACAAUGGGCGGAAGCCUGAUGCAGCGACGCCGCGUGAGGGAUGACGGCCUUCGGGUUGUAAACCUCUUUCAGCAGGGACGAAGCGCAAGUGACGGUACCUGCAGAAGAAGCGCCGGCCAACUACGUGCCAGCAGCCGCGGUAAGACGUAGGGCGCGAGCGUUGUCCGGAUUUAUUGGGCGUAAAGAGCUCGUAGGCGGCUUGUCGCGUCGACUGUGAAAACCCGCAGCUCAACUGCGGGCCUGCAGUCGAUACGGGCAGGCUAGAGUUCGGUAGGGGAGACUGGAAUUCCUGGUGUAGCGGUGAAAUGCGCAGAUAUCAGGAGGAACACCGGUGGCGAAGGCGGGUCUCUGGGCCGAUACUGACGCUGAGGAGCGAAAGCGUGGGGAGCGAACAGGAUUAGAUACCCUGGUAGUCCACGCUGUAAACGUUGGGCGCUAGGUGUGGGGGGCCUCUCCGGUUCCCUGUGCCGCAGCUAACGCAUUAAGCGCCCCGCCUGGGGAGUACGGCCGC